rnacentral:sRNA from 1 species
ACUGAAAACUCUUUAUCUUGAACUGCACCAAGCUACAUCUGAAUCCCAAUAAAUGCAGAGUUUAGUGGACUUUUUGUUCCUGGGUUUUGAAAAGCUGCUGACCCUUGAAACGUCAGUUUUUCAUCAACUUGGAGGGCGUGUUAGGCAUAAGCUGCUGUUGCCAUUGUGCAGAGUAAUCCAGAUUUACCUGUUGUCCUCAGUUUGAAGGUUGCACAAAGGCCUACUCGAGACUAGAAAACUUGAAAACACACUUGAGAUCUCACACUGGAGAGAAACCAUACGUCUGUGAGCAUGAAGGUUGCAACAAGGCUUUCUCAAAUGCCUCUGAUCGCGCCAAACACCAAAACAGAACGCAUUCCAAUGAGAAACCAUAUGUGUGCAAAAUCCCAGGCUGCACUAAGCGUUACACAGACCCAAGCUCCCUCCGGAAACACGUGAAGACAGUGCAUGGCCCAGAGGCUCAUGUCACCAAGAAGCAGCGAGGGGACAUCCAUCCUCGGCCCCCACCCCCGAGAGAUUCCGGCAGCCAUUCACAGUCCAGGUCGCCCGGCCA